UAGGGAAUCUUCGGCAAUGGACGAAAGUCUGACCGAGCAACGCCGCGUGAGUGAAGAAGGUUUUCUGAUCGUAAAACUCUGUUGUUAGAGAAGAACAAGGACGUUAGUAACUGAACGUCCCCUGACGGUAUCUAACCAGAAAGCCACGGCUAACUACGUGCCAGCAGCCGCGGUAAUACGUAGGUGGCAAGCGUUGUCCGGAUUUAUUGGGCGUAAAGCGAGCGCAGGCGGUUUCUUAAGUCUGAUGUGAAAGCCCCCGGCUCAACCGGGGAGGGUCAUUGGAAACUGGGAGGCUUGAGUGCAGAAGAGGGGAGUGGAAUUCCAUGUGUAGCGGUGAAAUGCGUAGAUAUAUGGAGGAACACCAGUGGCGAAGGCGGCUCUCUGGUCUGUAACUGACGCUGAGGCUCGAAAGCGUGGGGAGCAAACAGG
rnacentral:rRNA from 1 species